rnacentral:rRNA from 1 species
CCUACGGGCGGCAGCAGUGGGGAAUAUUGCACAAUGGGCGCAAGCCUGAUGCAGCCAUGCCGCGUGUGUGAAGAAGGCCUUCGGGUUGUAAAGCACUUUCAGCGGGGAGGAAGGCGGUGAGGUUAAUAACCUCAUCGAUUGACGUUACCCGCAGAAGAAGCACCGGCUAACUCCGUGCCAGCAGCCGCGGUAAUACGGAGGGUGCGAGCGUUAAUCGGAAUUACUGGGCGUAAAGCGCACGCAGGCGGUCUGUCAAGUCGGAUGUGAAAUCCCCGGGCUCAACCUGGGAACUGCAUUCGAAACUGGCAGGCUAGAGUCUUGUAGAGGGGGGUAGAAUUCCAGGUGUAGCGGUGAAAUGCGUAGAGAUCUGGAGGAAUACCGGUGGCGAAGGCGGCCCCCUGGACAAAGACUGACGCUCAGGUGCGAAAGCGUGGGGAGCAAACAGGAUUAGAUACCCGAGUAGUC